rnacentral:rRNA from 1 species
CCUACGGGGUGCUGCAGUAGGGAAUUUUCGUCAAUGGGCGCAAGCCUGAACGAGCAAUGCAGCGUGAACGAGGAAGGUCUUCGGAUCGGAAAGUUCUGUUGAAGGGGAAAAAGAGCGGAGAGAGGAAAGGAACUCCGAUUGAUAUUAUCCUUCGAGGAAGUCACGGCUAAUUACGUGCCAGCAGCCGCGGUAAUACGUAGGUGGCGAGCGUUAUCCGGAGUGAUUGGGCGUAAGGGGUGCGUAGGCGGCCUGCUAAGUCUGGAGUGAAAGGUACCGGCUCAACCGGUACAGGCUCUGGAAACUGGCGGGCUAGAGAGCAGGAGAGGGCGGUGGAACUCCAUGUGUAGCGGUAAAAUGCGUAGAUAUAUGGAAGAACACCAGUGGCGAAGGCGGCCGCCUGGCCUGUUACUGACGCUGAGGCACGAAAGCGUGGGUAGCAAAUAGGAUUAGAUACCCCUGUAGUC